AGUCCAGGCACGACGCCCUCGACAACGCCUGGCAGCCUGGUCCCUGAGCCACGACGAGCUUUAGAGCAGGCAGUGUCAGUUCGGUACUGGGCGGGUCCGAGCUACGCCCAGACUGCUAUCCCACCCCAUCCCCCAGGAAGCCUCCUCUUUUGCUAAAUUCCUGGCCCAUUUGGAAGACGAAUGAACGUUUGGGUUUGAAGAAAUGGCAGCUCUAAGUCUUGAGUCAAAGAAACUGAUUAGCAAGAAAAUCUAGCAAUCUACAAAAGAAUCCAGGCGGUUAAACAGUUGAGGUAAUUUUCUCUCACCGAGGCUUAUUAACAGAAAAAAAGUUGACAACGUUCCUACUGUGCUCAGGAUAUUGAGUUAGACACUAAGAGUAGUAUAAACAAAAGUACAACAUGCUUCCUUUUCCAGGAAAUUAUUGUUGAGAUAAAGCAUAAACUCUGCAUGUGUUUUUUUUUUCUUUUUUAAGUAUGUCUACAAGAUUCUGGGAAUACUGAAGAUGAGUUUGUUACCUACUCAACAUUCUUUUCUUCCUCCUCCCUUGCCAACAGAAUCCUGAUGUUCAGGAAUCCCUCCCCCUUAUGCACAGUUGGUGUAGCUCAGCAUCCUCCGCUCCAGGGUGGUCUGCUGGUCUAAGGGUAAUUAUCACCCUCUUGCCAGGGACUGGAUUAGGAUUGUGCAUGUUGCCCAUUUCACCUCCAUGAGUUGCAACAAUAGGUUGGCAGGAUGCUUCCAGGAAAGCUUUUCCAGGAGAACUUUCAGAAGUAAUUCACACCUACUUUGGACAUGUUUGAACUUGGAUAUGAGGCUGGAAAUUGGUACAGUCCUUUUGACAGCAACCUGACUAUGAAGGGAGGUAAAGUAUGGAGCUGAAAUAAUGGGAUUACAUCAACUCAAAUCCAUCCUACUUAUGGAUCUCCAGUUGAGUUAAUAAACUUCCUUACAGUUUAAA